CUCACCCCCUUAUGCUCCAAAGGGGACAGUGUUCCUGGGGGGGAAGGGUCCCGCCUCGGCCUCCAGGGCCCUUGGCGCUGCUCUUGACGCGUUGCUGGGUCCUCCCCAGCCAGGCGGCCCGUGAGCAGAUGCGAGACUCCAGAUCUGGGGAGUGACUUCUGAAGCCUUUGUGUCGAUUUUAAUUACAACAAUUAUGGCUUUAUCAGCAAGAUAAAGGUCACUGCCGGCCAGGGAGAUCAGGCAGCUUGACCUCUCCGGGAGGGAAAUGCCAAUUAAUUAUCUUUUUACAGCCAACUCAAUUAGACUCCCUAAUCACCUGUGUAGGACUCAGAGGCGAGAGGCGCAGAGACCUCGUGCAGGCCCGGCUGUUCCCCGGGGGAGAGCCGGCUCUAGGCCGGAUGUUUCCUCCGUUUGCGACACUCAAACCCCUAAGAGGUUAUCAGGCCGAAGCGGACAAGCCGUCCGGUCUGCUGGUGACUAGACACACCGCGCAAGCCUUCAGGGCAGCCUCCAUCAGCGAGGGGCUGGCGGGUUGCAGAGACAGGGACACACGAGCACCGGGGCAGCCAGUGAAGCAGGGAGGCCAUGCAGGGAGGACACGUGGGCCCUGGGUCUCGAUGACCGGGGGUCGGGGGAGGCAUCCUUUAGGGCUGUGCACGGCCAGGCGGGCACCUCGGGCCCCUUCUCCAGCCACCCAGGCCCCUGGCGAGGGCCCCCUCUGGGCUGCAUGCCAGCCCCCCGACCCCCGUUUGUCCAGUGGGUACACACAGCUCUGCUGUGGCCUGGGGUCUGGCCUGGAGGGUCUCUCAUCAGCCGGGCACGGGCAGAGAGGGUAUGGGGGCAUCUGUACUGGGCUCCCCUCGGGCAGAGAGGGCAUGGGGGCAUCUGUACCGGGCUCCCCUGCCACCAGGCCUGCAGACCUCUGUCCAGAGUCCCCGAUGCUGUCUCCCCACGUGGCACGCAUGUGCACACACAGGCACACGUGCGCACAUGUCCCGACUCUCACACUCCCCUGCCCAGGGAGGUCUCCAGCCCCAGGGCCACUGCCCGUGCACCCCAGACGGAACCACGCCUCACGGACCAGGCCUUGGUCCCGUUGGUGGUGUCUGCCUCGGAGGGCUUCCUAACAUCUGGCAAAAACCUCUGAGGGACGGCUCCCCAGCCCUGCCACGGUUCCUGGAGGCUGGAGACGGGAGGAAAAAGAGGAGGUGCCCCUCCCCACUCACUGGAUCCUGUCUGGGGCUCCUCCACGUGCAUUUGACGAACCAGCCAGAAGGCGUGCUCUGCAUGUCUGGACGGGCUCCCCCUACACUCGUUCUGCCGUCCGCGUCCUGCGGAGCUGUCCCAGCGGCACUUCCCACGCAGCGGACCCCAUGGGCAGGGGCUCCCCUCAGCAGUGGAUGCGUGUGUCUUGCCCAGGGAGAGGAGAGUGACAGAAACGCCUGCAGCGGGGUAAGUGCAGCUCCGAGCUGCUGACAUCUAACGGGUCAGCCUAUCCUAUUGGCCGAUGGGGUGAGCGGUGUGGCUGGGAGACCCGAGUGCGCCCUGAGCCCCACAGGUGACCAGAGGCAGAGCAAGGACCCCUUGACCCUCCCACUCCUGCCCUCCUGACCCUGGAGCCGGGAAUCAAGUCUGGCGCCCGUGAACCAUUUGGUACCAGGAGAUGGUCCAGGCCAGGAGGAGAAAAACGAAGCCAGGCUCCUCGAGAAAGAACACAGGAAGCGAGUGCUAGGUCUGCAGCCGAGUGAUGCCCCGGCUUCCCUGCUCCAGCCCUUCAUGCUGCCUCUGCCCCCAGGGGCUCAGGGCCCUCACACCCACCUUCCUGCCCAGUUCCCAUUCCCCCUUUCAUCCACGCUGCCACACAAGAGUCCCUCCCAACCUGCGCCAGACUCAGGGGCCUCUUCCAUCUCCUCCUGGCUCCUCCCCGCCUCCCAGGGCCCCAUCUGCCUGUGCUUCUCUCCAGCUUUCCUGCUGCCCACAUCCACUGGCUCCUCCAUCCCCAAACACACUCCUCCUGGGCCUCCUUCCAUGGCUUGUUUGGCUGCUGACAUCCCAAGGAUUGAAGCCUGCUUCUCCUGGACAGUCCCUCCUGGCUCUUAUGGCCUCAGUCCUUAGGUGUCCUUAGGACCAGGUCUGCCUGCUGUAUUGUCCUCACCACCCUGACUACCACCAUCAUCCCCAUCACCAUCAUCAUCAUCACUGUCACCAUCAUCAUUCUCACCAUCAUCACCACCAUCAUCAUCAUCACCACUGUCCCCACCAUCACUAACAACACCAUCACCAUCAUCAUCACCAUCACUGAUGUCACCACCAGGAUUGUACUCACAUCCACAUUAUGGUCACUCUACACUCUCCAGGGGCCAGAUCCUUUGAUAAGCUCUUCCCAUGUGGUUAACACGCAUUUAACCCUCACCUCAGCCUAGAGGAGGAGUCAUUGUCUCCCUAUUUAUGGAGGGGGAAACUGAGGACAGCCAGCUCCAGCCAAGGGGCCCUGCUGCUCUGCAGGUACCACUGUGGUGGAGGCAGGUGCAUGGAUCUUGUCUUUGAAGAGAUCCCAGGGCUGGACCCGCAGGUCCCUCAGGAGCCCCUGCAAGGGCACCCUCCUCCACCUCAGCCUCGUCUGUCCAGGCUGCCUGCGCCUGGGGUGGAGACACGUGCCUGAGAAUCAGCCCCAGAAGCAGAAAUUCACCGUGUGGGGAACAUAGUGCCUCAUCUGUAACUGGACCCUCUUACCCACCCGGGGGCGAGGCUUUGCUUUUUUUUUUAUUAAGAGAUUUUCAAACUUGAGAAUUUCCAGGCGAGCAAGGGGACCGUGACCUGGCCUGGCCUGGCCUGGGAGGGAUGGGCAUGGUGGGCAUUUGGAAUCUCCAGUCCCUGUGGUGGGCGGCUGUGGAUCAGGACCCCCGGCAGACCGAGGUCCCGGGCCCCGGCAGCCACCCCAGGCUGAGCUCAGCAGAUCCUGCCUCUGGGGCCACGGCACCGGCUACUGAGGGGAAGCCCGACCCUGGUGUUGCCUGUCCUUUUGUGAAGCAAAGCCAUCGUCCCCACUGGACGCUCAGAAGGGACAGGAUGCACGUUCCUACAGCCUGGGCUUUCUGUCUGCCACGUUCCUGCUGCCAGUCGUGUUUCCCUCUGAAAGGAGCUGCACGCUCUGUACGCAUCGAAGCUCGGCUGAAAACUCCCCCUUUUCAGAGACGUUGCACUGGGGCGUCCUGCCCCCUUGAGGGCACAGUGCUGGUUUCAGACCGGCCUGCUAGCGCUCUGAGGAACACGAGGGGCCAUGUUUCAGCUGGCAAGCCAGCAGGGCUGGGGAACGAAUCUGGGGUUCUCUCCGAGCCUGUUUCUGACACCCCCACCCACUCCCCACCUCCACGAGGCUCCCCCAGCCGAGCCAUUUGCACGCAGCUUGGCAGAGCAAGGCUGGGCAGGCCCCACGGGCCCGGGGGAGAGCU